rnacentral:rRNA from 1 species
AGUGAACGCUGGCGGUAGGCCUAACACAUGCAAGUCGAACGGCAGCACAGUAAGAGCUUGCACUUACGGGUGGCGAGUGGCGGACGGGUGAGGAAUACAUCGGAAUCUACUUUUUCGUGGGGGAUAACGUAGGGAAACUCACGCUAAUACCGCAUACGCCCUACGGGUGAAAGCAGGAGAUCUUCGGACCUUGCGCGAUUGAAUGAGCGGAUGUCGGAUUAGCUAGUUGGCGGGGUAAAGGCCCACCAAGGCGACGAUCCGUAGCUGGUCUGAGAGGAUGCUCAGCCACGCUGGAGCUGAGACACGGUCCAGAUGCCUACGGGAGGCGGCAGUGGGGAAUAUUGGACGAUGGAGGCAAGCCUGAUCCAGCCAGACCGCGUGGCUGAAGAAGGCCUUCGGGUUGUAAAGCCCUUUUGUUGGGAAAGAAAAGCAGCAGGUUAAUGCCCUGCCGUUCUGACGGUACCCAAAGAAUAAGCACCGGCUAACUUCGUG